ensembl:snRNA U6 U6 spliceosomal RNA
GUGCUCACUUUAACAGCACAUAUACUAAAAUUGGAGCGGUACAGAGAUUAGCAUGGCCCGGGCAAAGGGAUGACACACAAAUUUGUGAAACGUUUCAUACUUUU